UUGAAUAGAGGCUUAUCUUCAGGGGUUC
rnacentral:piRNA from 1 species